rnacentral:rRNA from 1 species
CCUACGGGAGGCAGCAGUGAGGAAUAUUGGUCAAUGGGCGCUAGCCUGAACCAGCCAAGUAGCGUGAAGGAUGACUGCCCUAUGGGUUGUAAACUUCUUUUAUAUGGGAAUAAAGUGCAGUAUGUAUACUGCUUUGCAUGUACCUUAUGAAUAAGGAUCGGCUAACUCCGUGCCAGCAGCCGCGGUAAUACGGAGGAUCCGAGCGUUAUCCGGAUUUACUGGGUGUAAAGGGAGCGUAGACGGCAGUGCAAGUCUGGAGUGAAAGGCGGGGGCUCAACCCCCGGACUGCUCUGGAAACUGUACGGCUGGAGUGCAGGAGAGGUAAGUGGAAUUCGUGGUGUAGCGGUGAAAUGCUUAGAUAUCACGAAGAACCCCGAUUGCGAAGGCAGCUUACUAAACUGUGACUGACAUUGAUGCUCGAAAGUGUGGGUAUCAAACAGGAUUAGAUACCCCAGUAGUC